rnacentral:piRNA from 1 species
UGAAUUCAUCAUUUUUAAUAGCCGAGUAGU